CGCCGCGUGGAGGAUGAAGCUUCUUGGAGCGUAAACUCCUUUCGAUCGGGAAGAUAAUGACGGUACCGAGAGAAGAAGCCCCGGCUAACUUCGUGC
rnacentral:rRNA from 1 species